rnacentral:rRNA from 1 species
UACGUAGGGUGCGAGCGUUGUCCGGAAUCAUUGGGCGUAAAGAGCGUGUAGGCGGCCCGGUAAGUCCGCUGUGAAAGUCCAGGGCUCAACCCUGGGAUGCCGGUGGAUACUGUCGGGCUCGAGUCCGGAAGAGGAGUGUGGAAUUCCUGGUGUAGCGGUGAAAUGCGCAGAUAUCAGGAGGAACACCGGUGGCGAAGGCGGGUCUCUGGGCCGUAACUGACGCUGGAGGAGCGAAAGCGUGGGGAGCGAACAGG